rfam:Myotis lucifugus cont2.12188, whole genome shotgun sequence.
GGCGGUUCUCAGGUGACACACCCUGGAAUCGGGCUCCCUCUUCUCUGGUUCCGGGUGCAUCACCUGAGAACUGCU